rnacentral:rRNA from 1 species
GAUGAACGCUGGCGGCGUGCCUAAUACAUGCAAGUCGAGCGAACAGAUGAGGAGCUUGCUCCUCUGACGUUAGCGGCGGACGGGUGAGUAACACGUGGAUAACCUACCUAUAAGACUGGGAUAACUUCGGGAAACCGGAGCUAAUACCGGAUAAUAUAUUGAACCGCAUGGUUCAAUAGUGAAAGACGGUUUUGCUGUCACUUAUAGAUGGAUCCGCGCCGCAUUAGCUAGUUGGUAAGGUAACGGCUUACCAAGGCAACGAUGCGUAGCCGACCUGAGAGGGGGAUCGGCCACACUGGAACUGAGACACGGUCCAGACUCCUAAGGGAGGCAGCAGUAGGGAAUCGUCCGCAAUGGGCGAAAGCCUGACGGAGCAACGCCGCGUGAGUGAUGAAGGUCUUCGGAUCGUAAAACUCUGUUAUUAGGGAAGAACAAAUGUGUAAGUAACUAUGCACGUCUUGACGGUACCUAAUCAGAAAGCCACGGCUAACUACGUG